GCCAAUUUAAUAUCUUUCACGUUUCCUUGUCACUUGUUCGUCUCGUCUAAUAUAAAGAACUGGACGGAGAACUGAUAAGGGCUUGUGGGUGAGAUUUCAGC
rnacentral:pre_miRNA from 1 species